rnacentral:rRNA from 1 species
UCCUUUUGGAACUGGUGCUGGCGACCGGCGAACGGGUGAGUAACGCGUGAGCAACCUACCUCGAGGAGGGGGAUAACCCGGGGAAACCCGGGCUAAUACCCCAUAAGCGCACGGCCUGCAUGGGCUGUGUGAAAAGGUGGCCUCUGCAUAGCAAGCUGCCGCCUCGGGAUGGGCUCGCGUCCCAUCAGGUAGUUGGUGAGGUAACGGCUCACCAAGCCUACGACGGGUAGCCGGCCUGAGAGGGUGGUCGGCCACACCGGGACUGAGACACGGCCCGGACUCCUACGGGAGGCAGCAGUAGGGAAUCCUGGGCAAUGGGCGAAAGCCUGACCCAGCGACGCCGAGUGGAGGAAGAAGCCCUUCGGGGUGUAAACUCCUGUCGCCGGGGACGAGGCGGGAGCGGGUUAAGAGCCUGCUCCCGU